AAUCAAGCGCGAGAAGGGCGUUUGGUGAAUGCCUUGGCAGCAAGAGGCGAUGAAAGACGUGAUACUCUGCGAUAAGCCAUGGGGAGCUGAGAAUAAGCUUUGAUCCAUGGAUUUCUGAAUGGGGCAACCCACCUGACAAUCUUCGAUUGUCAGAUGAUUUAUUGUUUUGCCACUCCGUGCCUGCGCAAUGCAGGUACACCGAUCCUUUGGAUCGGCACUGGUCUUCGGAUCAGGGGUGGGGAGCGAGAUCAUCUGAGGAUCGCGGGUUGAAACAGGUACUUAAGACCUGAAUACAUAGGGUUUUAAGAGCAAACCCGGGGAACUGAAACAUCUAAGUACCCGGAGGAAAGGAAAUCAAUUGAUACUCCCCUAGUAGCGGCGAGCGAACGGGGACCAGCCGAGCCGUGAGUGUGAAUAGAACCUGUUGGGAAGCAGGACCAUAGGGGGUGAUAGUCCCGUAUAUGAAGCAUGAUCGGACGUAUUAAGUAGGGCGGAACACGUGAAAUUCUGUCUGAAGAUCGGAGGACCACCUUCGAAGGCUAAGUACUCCUUGCUGACCGAUAGUGAACCAGUACCGUGAGGGAAAGGUGAAAAGCACCCCGACGAGGGGAGUGAAACAGUACCUGAAACCGAACGCCUACAAUCAGUCGGAGGCUCCUUGCGAGCUGACGGCGUACCUUUUGUAUAAUGGGUCAUCGACUUGGUCUCACGAGCAAGCUUAAGCCGUUAGGUGUAGGCGUAGCGAAAGCGAGUCUUAAUAGGGCGUAUGAGUUCGUGGGAUCAGACCCGAAACCGAGUGAUCUAGGCAUGGCCAGGUUGAAGGUAAGGUAACACUUACUGGAGGACCGAACCCACAUCCGUUGAAAAGGAUCGGGAUGAGCUGUGCCUAGGGGUGAAAGGCCAAUCAAACUCGGAGAUAGCUGGUUCUCUGCGAAAUCUAUUUAGGUAGAGCGUCAUCCGAAUACCCCGGGGGGUAGAGCACUGGAUGGGUAAUGGGGCCCCACAGGCUUACUGAUCCUAACCAAACUCCGAAUACCCGGGAGUACUAGAUGGCAGACACACUGCGGAUGCUAACGUCCGUAGUGGAGAGGGAAACAACCCUGACCUACGACUAAGGCCCCCAAUUCAUGGCUAAGUGGGAAAGCAGGUGGGACGACCAAAACAACCAGGAGGUUGGCUUAGAAGCAGCCAUCCUUUAAAGAUAGCGUAACAGCUCACUGGUCUAAAUAAGUUGUCCUGCGGCGAAGAUGUAACGGGGCUCAAGCCAUGAGCCGAAGUCUAGGGAUGCGUAAGCAUCGGUAGCAGAGCGUAGUGUGACAUAGAACCUUGUCUAUAUUGCCGCCGGUUAUGCGGCGCGGGCAACCGCGCUCAAGUAGCCGAAUAGGCGGUAGCGCAGACAUAGGUUCUUUCGAUGAAGCCGGGGCGUGAGUCAUCCGGUGGAGAGAUCACUAGUGAGAAUGAUGACAUGAGUAGCGACAAAGAGUGUGAGAGACACUCUCGCCGAAAGUCCAAGGGUUCCUGCUUAAAGCUAAUCUGAGCAGGGUAAGCCGGCCCCUAAGCCGAGGCCGAAAGGCGUAGGCGAUGGGAACUAGGUUAAUAUUCCUAGGCCAGGAGGAUGUGACGGAUCACAGGUGUAGUUCAAUCUUAUCGGAUUGAUUGGGCUGCUGAGUGGUUCCUGGAAAUAGCCCUCCAUCAGACCGUACCCUAAACCGACACAGGUGGACUGGUAGAGCAUACCAAGGCGCUUGAGAGAACGAUGUUGAAGGAACUCGGCAAAAUACCUCCGUAAGUUCGCGAGAAGGAGGCCCGGUUCCUAGGCAACUAGGGGCUGGGGGCACAAACCAGGGGGUGGCGACUGUUUAUUAAAAACACAGGGCUCUGCGAAGUCGCAAGACGACGUAUAGGGUCUGACGCCUGCCCGGUGCCUGAAGGUUAAAAGGAGAGGUGAGAGCCUUGAAUUGAAGCCCAGGUAAACGGCGGCCGUAACUAUAACGGUCCUAAGGUAGCGAAAUUCCUUGUCGGGUAAGUUCCGACCUGCACGAAUGGCGUAACGACUUCCCCGCUGUCUCCAACAUCGACUCAGCGAAAUUGAAUUGCCUGUCAAGAUGCAGGCUUCCCGCGGUUAGACGGAAAGACCCCGUGCACCUUUACUACAGCUUCGCACUGGCAUCAGGAUUGUGAUGUGCAGGAUAGGUGGUGGGCUUUGAAGCAGGAACGCAAGUCCCUGUGGAGCCACCCUUGAGAUACCACCCUUCGCACUCUUGAUGUCUAACCGCGGUCCGUUAUCCGGAUCCGGGACCCUGCGUGGCGGGUAGUUUGACUGGGGCGGUCGCCUCCUAAAGCGUAACGGAGGCGCGCGAAGGUUGGCUCAGAGCGGUCGGAAAUCGCUCGUUGAGUGCAAUGGCAGAAGCCAGCCUGACUGCAAGACUGACAAGUCGAGCAGAGUCGAAAGACGGCCAUAGUGAUCCGGUGGUCCCGAGUGGAAGGGCCAUCGCUCAACGGAUAAAAGGUACGCCGGGGAUAACAGGCUGAUACUGCCCAAGAGUCCAUAUCGACGGCAGUGUUUGGCACCUCGAUGUCGGCUCAUCUCAUCCUGGGGCUGGAGCAGGUCCCAAGGGUACGGCUGUUCGCCGUUUAAAGAGGUACGUGAGCUGGGUUUAGAACGUCGUGAGACAGUUCGGUCCCUAUCUGCCGUGGGUGUAGGAGACUUGAGAGGAGUUGCCCCUAGUACGAGAGGACCGGGGUGAACGAUCCACUGGUGGACCAGUUGUCGUGCCAACGGCAGUGCUGGGUAGCUAUGAUCGGACAGGAUAACCGCUGAAGGCAUCUAAGCGGGAAGCCCCCCUCAAAACAAGGUCUCCCUGAGGGCCGUGGAAGACCACCACGUCAAUAGGCCGGAGAUGUAAGCGCAGUAAUGCGUUCAGUUGACCGGUACUAAUCGCCCGAUAGGCUUGAUUUG
rfam:Rhodobacteraceae bacterium KLH11 scf_1108856220445 genomic scaffold, whole genome shotgun sequence.